rnacentral:tRNA from 1 species
UGGGCCUAAAUGGACUCGAACCAUCGACCUCACGCUUAUCAGGCGUGCGCUCUAAACCAGCUGAGCUAUAGGCCC